ACGUAGGUGGCUAGCGUUGUCCGGAUUUACUGGGCGUAAAGAGCGCGCAGGCGGUCGUUCAAGUCGCGUGUGAAAGCCCCCGGCUCAACUGGAGAACUGCCAUUGAUACUGCAGGGCUUGAGUACAGACGAGGUUGGCGGAAUUGAUUGUGUAGCGGUGAAAUGCAUAGAUACAAUCAAGAACUCCGAUUGCGUAGGCAGCUAACUAGGCUGUAACUGACGCUGAGGCACGAAAGCGUGGGGAGCGAACAGGA
rnacentral:rRNA from 1 species